UUCUGAUCCAGCAGGUUCUGGAUGGGGGCUCAGCCCACAGCUUUACCUUCCAUCACGUUCUUGUUGUUGCUCUUGUUGUUAUGGUUCUUGUUGCUGCAGAUCCCAUCGAGGCUGAUGAAGUUGUAGCUCUGGUUUUCUCCACAGUGGGAAAUGUUCAGUCUUUUUACACAAGGUUUCGUUUUCUCACUGUGGCAGAAGACAGAAAUGUAGCCAAAAAAAAUCCAAGGCGUCGCUCCAGUGACUUACUUUGGGCCUCAGAAGGGAAACUGUUAUAAUUUGGUUAAAAUGACGGCUUCAAUCAGUUCAUGUCAAUCAGACACCACAGGAGUGUUUGGAUUGGACUUGACUAGAAAUCGGACAAAAUAGUGAAAGGUUUCUUUAAUCAAAUC